UGAACGCUGGCGGCGUGCCUACUACAUGCAAGUCGAGCGAACGGACGAGAAGCUUGCUUUUCUGAUGUUAGCGGCGGACGGGUGAGUAACACGUGGAUAACCUACCUAUAAGACUGGGAUAACUUCGGGAAACCGGAGCUAAUACCGGAUAAUAUUUUGAACCGCAUGGUUCAAAAGUGAAAGACGGUCUUGCUGUCACUUAUAGAUGGAUCCGCGCUGCAUUAGCUAGUUGGUAAGGUAACGGCUUACCAAGGCAACGAUGCAUAGCCGACCUGAGAGGGUGAUCGGCCACACUGGAACUGAGACACGGUCCAGACUCCUACGGGAGGCAGCAGUAGGGAAUCUUCCGCAAUGGGCGAAAGCCUGACGGAGCAACGCCGCGUGAGUGAUGAAGGUCUUCGGAUCGUAAAACUCUGUUAUUAGGGAAGAACAUAUGUGUAAGUAACUGUGCACAUCUUGACGGUACCUAAUCAGAAAGCCACGGCUAACUACGUG
rnacentral:rRNA from 1 species